GAGAAGGAGCCUGUGGGUGAGGAAACUGAGGCUCAGAGACAUUGGAUGCCUCACGGAGGUAACCAGCAUGUUGGUGGCAGCACAGCUGGAAUCCAAAGCCGGCAAGCCUCCUUACAGAUGGGAGUUACAUCCGCUCCCAAGGAGGGCUGCUCCAUGAGGGAAAGCCCCUCUUGGAUUCCCUGAAGCCUUCGCCUGCAAGGUGGACGCACUGUGUAUGGCUGAUGAAUUCCCUUUCCGGGCUCCAGGGACCGCCGUGGAGUGUUCCCGGU